rnacentral:tRNA from 1 species
UGCGGGGAUAGCCAAGUGGUCAAAGGCGAACGCCUCAAGAGCGUUUCUCGUAGGAGUUCAGGGGUUCGACUCCCUUUCCCCGCAU